rnacentral:rRNA from 1 species
UACGGAGGGUGCAAGCGUUGUCCGGAUUCAUUGGGCGUAAAGAGCGUGUAGGCGGCCCGGUAGGUCGGUUGUGAAAACUGGAGGCUCAACCUUCAGAGGUCGAUCGAAACCAUCUGGCUAGAGUCCGGGAGAGGAGAGUGGAAUUCCUGGUGUAGCGGUGAAAUGCGCAGAUAUCAGGAAGAACACCCGUGGCGAAAGCGGCUCUCUGGAACGGUACUGACGCUGAGACGCGAAAGCGUGGGGAGCGAACAGG